rnacentral:rRNA from 1 species
UUUGAAAUCCGGCCCCCCCCUGGGGGCCUGAGUUGUAAUUUGCAGAGGAUGCUUCGGGCGCGACCGCGGUCCAAGUCCCCUGGAACGGGGCGUCGUAGAGGGUGAGAAUCCCGUCUCCGGCCGGCCGGUCUCGCCCGUGUGAAGCUCCUUCGAACGAGUCGAGUUGUUUGGGAAUGCAGCUCCAAAUGGGUGGUAAAUUUCAUCUAAAGCUAAAUACUGGUCGGAGACCGAUAGCGCACAAGUAGAGUGAUCGAAAGAUGAAAAGCACUUUGAAAAGAGAGUUAAACAGCAUGUGAAAUUGUUGAAAGGGAAGCGCUUGCGACCAGAGUCGGCCGCGGGGGCUCAGCGGGCAUUCGUUGCCCGUGCAAUCCCCCGCGGCCGGGCCAGCGUCGGUUUCGACGGCCGGUCAAAGGCCCCCGGAAUGUGUCGCCUCUCGGGGCGUCUUAUAGCCGGGGGUGCAAUGCGGCCAGUCGGGACCGAGGACCGCGCUCCGGCACGGACGCUGGCUUAAUGGUCGUCAGCGACC